AAGUCGAGGGGUAGCAGGAAUUGCUUGCAAUUCGCUGACGACCGGCGCACGGGUGCGUAACGCGUAUGCAACCUACCUUCAACGAGGGGGAUAGCAGGGGAAACCCUGAUUAAUACCCCAUAAUAAUCAAUUUCGCAUGUUAUUGAAAUUUAAAACUCCGGUGGUUGAAGAUGGGCAUGCGUCCUGUUAGUUUGUUGGUGAGGUAACGGCUCACCAAGACUACGAUAGGUAGGGGGCCUGAGAGGGUGAUCCCCCACACUGGUACUGAGACACGGACCAGACUCC
rnacentral:rRNA from 1 species